CCAAGUUAUCAGAAUUCCAUACCUGUUGAGGUGGCUUGCUGGUUUGCAAUCAGUUUUUACAAAAUCUUAACCAUGGCAUAUAUACUUGUGAAUUGUCAACAUCAAGUUACAAAUCUCUUAAGAAACUCUGGAGAUAACGGGUGCACCAGGCAUGAAUGAUUCCUUCUUGGACAAUCUCUACAAAAUCCUGAAGUCAUGCCCUCCUAGUUGCACCCAUUAGUCCACGUGUCAUAUGAAUGGUUGACCAAAGUCAACAUUGACAUUAUUAUCUGCCACAAAUCACUAAUUGUCAUUAUCCCUAGUAGCUAUAAGGUCCCUUCCACAUCAAGCCUCAAAACGACAAGCCCCACCGAACGUGUACAAGAUUAGGGUCCGUUAAAGUCUGAACAAUGGGUUAGCUCGGCCAAACCAAGUAGGUUCAGAUUUAACAGCAACCUACAACUCUUGAUUAAUUUUAUAAACAUUCAUAUUAUGUGGUAGACUUUUUGUUAAUUUUCCAUCUAUGGCGAUAUUCGCCCACCCAUGGGCCUGACUUAGUCAACCUUUUGACCAAGUUUGAUCAAUUUAUCCAUCUAUGGUAGGAGCUCAACUUCAGGAUUUUAUAUUUUGAUUGUUUUUUUUUUUAAUAAAGAAAGCAUAGAAUAAUACGGCCAAAUACGUAUUAGAAUAUGAAUCGACGAUAAAAUUGAUAUUUCUCAGUUUGAAAAGUAAUAUUAAUAAAUAUUUUCUUAUAUUAUAAUACGUUACUGUACUACGUGUACAUUACUAUAAUUACUCUUUUUGGGGGUGAGAUGUAUAAGUUUGAUUGUGAACUGGUUAUGGAGUUUCGUAGACCACAACUAGGGUGAAUGUGGGAGGGGAGACGUGCUUUGACUGUACUAUUGAAAAAAAAACAAACAAACCCAUAAAAUAAGUAAUAAAAAACAAACAAACAAACAAAACACAAUAGUUGAUUUUGAAUAUUUCAAUUUGAAUUUAAAUGCCAUGUCCUAUUAAAGAAAUGGGAUGUGUAGCACAUGCAUUUUACAUCACCGGCGAAAUCACUAUAAUAACAGUCCUACAUGGGAACUACAUUUUCGUCAACUACCCCACCCAAAAAAGAAAAAGAAAAAGUCUUCAAUUUCUUCAAUUCAAUUGAAGAAAAUAUGAUUUGAAAUCCAAUUUAUCCUUUCACUUACAUUAUGUAAUUUAUUUGAUCAAACAAAAGUGCGUGAUAAAUAAAUCGAAUUUAAAUUUAAAGUUCAAGUUCGAAACCCCCAAUUCUCAUUGAUAAAACGAAAAAAACCCAUAGUUCACAACAUCAUAAAUAGGGGGUUGACAUUUUUUUGGGUGUAUUCAUAAAAAAGAAUAUUUAUGCAAUUGCUUGCACUGUUGCACAACAACCAUGAAGGUUUUAAAAAAAAAAUUAAAUACAAAGUGAUAAUUGUAUUGGCGCAUAUUGACUGAACUACACAAACUUUGAACCAUGAAAUGGUAGAGUCAAGCAUUACCAAAAUAAAAAUAAAAAAAAUAAGAAAAAAAUAAAAAAAUAAGAAGCAUCGUAAUUUCCUUGACUUUUCAUCUAUUGAUCCAUUUUGGACUAAGGAAACCUUCCAAAAGCAAUCAUCGAGACUAGAUCAAGAACAAUAAUUAAAAUGUACAGAAAUAUUCAUUAUUAUUUUGCUGUUGUGCUCCCAUAUAUGCUUUGAAUAUUAAACUCCAAAAAGAUGCCAAUUAGAACGUGAAGUGUAACAAACAAAUUAAACAGGACUUAAUUU
rnacentral:lncRNA from 1 species